rnacentral:rRNA from 1 species
AGGGCAAGUCUGGUGCCAGCAGCCGCGGUAAUUCCAGCUCCAAUAGCGUAUAUUAAAGUUGUUGCAGUUAAAAAGCUCGUAGUUGAAUUUCGGGGUUAGUAGGUUGGUCGUGCCUCAGGUAUGUACUGAUCUCACUGAUUCCUCCUUCCUGAUGAACCGUAAUGCCAUUAAUUUGGUGUUGCGGGGAAACUGGACUGUUACUUUGAAAAAAUUAGAGUGUUUAAAGCAGGCUAACGCUUGAAUACAUUAGCAUGGAAUAAUGAAAUAGGACGUUCGAUCCUAUUUUGUUGGUUUCUAGGAUUGACGUAAUGAUUAAUAGGGAUAGUUGGGGGCAUUAGUAUUCAAUUGUCAGAGGUGAAAUUCUUGGAUUUAUUGAAGACUAACUACUGCGAAAGCAUUUGCCAAGGAUGUUUUCAUUAAUCAAGAACGAAAGUUAGGGGAUCGAAGACGAUCAGAUACCGUCGUAGUCUUAACCAUAAACUAUGCCGACUAGGGAUCGGAUGACGUUAAUUUUUUAAUGACUCAUUCGGCGCCUUACGGGAA